rnacentral:rRNA from 1 species
GGUUGAACCAGCAAUUUGGGGGAAUGUAUGAUAUUUAUAUCAGUAUAUGCAUGCUAAGGUAUGUAUGUAUAUUGACUAUGUCAAAUAAAGUUCUAGAUAGAUAACUGAUAAUGACAAAUUUCUAUCUAUAUGUCUUGACCAAGUCUUGUGCCAGCAGUCGCGGCAAUACAAGGAAGACUAGUGUUAUUCAUCUUUAUUAGGUUUAAAGGGUACCUAGACAGUUUUUAUAGCUCCAAAAGAGUACGUAAAAACUAGAGUUUGAUAGGAGAGGUAAAUAUUAGGGCUAUUGGUGUAGAGAUGAAAUUCUUUGAUACUAAUAGAACGGAUAAAGGCGAAGGCAACCCUCUAUAUAUAAACUGACGUUGAGGGACGAAGGCUUGGGGAGCAAAUAGGAUUAGAUACCCUAGUAGUCCAGGCAGAAAAUUAUGAAUGUUAUAGACUGAGUAUAAAGUUGGUGUAUAAAUGAAAGUGUAAGCAUUCCACCUCAAGAGUAAUGUGGCAACACAGGAACUGAAAUCAUUAGACCGUUUCUGAAACCAGUAGUGAAGUAUGUUAUUUAAUUCGAUGACCCUCGAAAAACCUUACCACAAUUUGAAUAGUAUUUGUUGUAAAUCCUCUUGCUUUGCGCUAGGGGUAUCAAAUAUUACAGGCGUUGCACGGCUGUCUUCAGUUAAUGUCGUGAGAUUUUGGUUAGAUCCAUUAAAUUAACGUAAACCCUUGCUCCACAGCGACUUACGGCUUAAAUCUUAUUAGUAAUAAUCAGAUUACGGCUAUAUAUAUCGCAAUUUGUGAAGCAGUUCACCGCUAUAUUGGAUACGAUAACAGGGACCAAGACAAGUCAUCAUGACCUUAAUAUUGUGGGCUAUA